UCUGCACUUGGUCCGGUUUGAACCCGUUCUGCUUCAGCCAGAGCGCAAGGUUCACCAUUGCCUCGUCGGUGGUUCCGGGGUGCGCCGCGAUGAA
rnacentral:tRNA from 1 species